CUGCAGAAUUUCGAUGGCAAU
rnacentral:snRNA from 1 species